GACGAACGCUGGCGGCGUGCCUAAUACAUGCAAGUAGAACGCUGAAGAGAGGAGCUUGCUCUUCUUGGAUGAGUUGCGAACGGGUGAGUAACGCGUAGGUAACCUGCCUGGUAGCGGGGGAUAACUAUUGGAAACGAUAGCUAAUACCGCAUGAAAUUGCUUAUCGCAUGAUAAUUGAUUGAAAGAUGCAAUUGCAUCACUACCAGAUGGACCUGCGUUGUAUUAGCUAGUUGGUGAGGUAACGGCUCACCAAGGGGACGAUACAUAGCCGAACUGAGAGGGGGGACGGCCCACCUGGGACUGAGACACGGCCCCAGAUCCCACGGGGGGGAGCCGGAGGGAAACUUCCGGAAUGGGGGGAAAGCUGAACGGGCAACGCCGGGGGAGUGAAGAAGGUUUUCGGGUCCUAAAGCUCUGUUUUAAGGGAAGAAAGGGUGUGGGAGUGGAAAGUUCACACUGUGACGGUAUCUUACCAGAAAGGGACGGCUAACUACGUG
rnacentral:rRNA from 1 species